rnacentral:rRNA from 1 species
CCAAUAGCGUAUAUUAAAGUUGUUGCAGUUAAAAAGCUCGUAGUUGAACUUCGGGGUUCACCCAUUGGUCAGGCUUAAUUGUCUGCACUGGUGAGAUGAGUCUCUACCUUCUGAGGAACUUUCAUGCCAUUUAUUUGGUGUGGUUGGAAAUCAGGACUGUUACUUUGAAAAAAUUAGAGUGUUUAAAGCAGGCUAACGUCUGAAUAUAUUAGCAUGGAAUAACGAAAUAGGACGGCUUGGUUCUAUUUUGUUGGUUUCUAGGAUCACCGUAAUGAUUAAUAGGGAUAGUUGGGGGCAUUAGUAUUCAAUUGUCAGAGGUGAAAUUCUUGGAUUUAUUGAAGACUAACUACUGCGAAAGCAUUUGCCAAGGAUGUUUUCAUUAAUCAAGAACGAAAGUUAGGGGAUCGAAGACGAUCAGAUACCGUCGUAGUCUUAACCAUAAACUAUGCCGACUAGGAAUCAGACGAUGUUAAUUUUUUAAUGACUCGUUUGGCACCUUACG